AUUAUACAUCUCCCUGGAGGAGCUUGCUACUUAAACCGAUAACCCUCGUUAAACCUCACCAUCUCUUGAAACUUCAGCCUGUAUACCAUCGUCGUCAGUUUACUCCGUAAGGAAAGUACACAAAAGGGGUGAAACCAUACUCAUCCCACUACGCCAGAUCAAGGUGCAGCCAAUGAGUUGGCAACAAGUGAGCUACAAUACUACUUACAAUUCAAAACUAAAUAACACUCUGGAAGAACAAAUGAAAUUUUUAAUCAAAAAUAGGAUUCAGCAGUAAUGAUUAAAAGAAAAUAACCAUGAAAUCCCUAGCUCUAUAAUACGC
rnacentral:rRNA from 1 species